UGGGACGACAGGUGCUCCUGAAAGCAUCAGCGGUAAAGUUUGGGGAGUGGAGAGGUGACUGCUGGACGGCGGCGGUGUGUCUGCUGCACACUGACUGCUGUACCGCGAUGUGUAUAAAUAGGCAAAUACACAGUGACUCUCACUCCGCAGACUAAAGGGAAUUAUUGAUCGCAACAUCACAAGACUCAUUCCAACCAAUCAGUGCACGUCACGCAGUGGAGACAUAAGAAGAGGGGAACAGACAGAGAGGGAGACUGGACUGGGGAGAAAAGGGGUGUUGGUGUCUCAUAUCUGCAGAGACCCUGCAGCCCUCCGCCUGGAUUUUCUUGUUUUGUCACUUUGUUGCUGCUCAGGAAGCUUGACAAACAUUUACCAAUGCUGCUAUUUGUCGUCCUGGGAAUGAGACUCAAUCAACCAUCACCUGUCUUCUUGGUACAUUUAGGAUCAGCUCGGACAAAUACAGCUGAUUCUAGCUUUAAGGUUAUUGGUCUUUGAAUUUGAUUGAGAUGAAGAUAGAUUUGGUUAGCUUUGCACAGAAUUGGCCAGUAACAAAUUCCUUCAGCAGGAAACUUUUUACUCUGAGCACAUUUCAGAGCCUGUACUUUAUUACAUUUAUUUGAGUGAAGAAGUUGAAUCGGUGCAUCUACUUUAACCAGAGUUUUUUAUUACACAAGUAUCUGUAUUUGUGUAAUAACUUGAGUGAAGAAUGUGUGGACUUUUGCCACCUCGUAUUGUAGCAUCUCAACUUGGACUUGCUUGAUAUGCUGUUGCACCAUGUGGACAAACAUUUUUUCUCAUGUUGAGACACUUCAUUUUGAUGUUCCUGUUAUUAUGUGACUGACAUUUGGAUGCACUGAUGCAGAAUAGGAUACAGAAUCACUGCAAUCACAACUGUUUGUUUGAUGAUGCGUUAAAACUACUGUAAAAUCUA